GACGGAGGAGGCUAGCGUUGUUCGGAAUUACUGGGCGUAAAGCGCGCGCAGGCGGUCUUGCAAGUCAGGGGUGAAAGCCCGGGGCUCAACCUCGGAACUGCCUUUGAGACUGUGAGACUCGAGUCCGAGAGAGGAGAGUGGAAUUCCCAGUGUAGAGGUGAAAUUCGUAGAUAUUGGGAAGAACACCAGUGGCGAAGGCGGCUCUCUGGCUCGGUACUGACGCUGAGGCGCGAAAGCGUGGGGAGCAAACAGG
rnacentral:rRNA from 1 species